GUUUAUAAUAUGUUUUUAUUAGUUUCGUAUGUCUGUUUGUAUAUAAAGGAAUCUAUGAACGUCAUUUUCAACGCCUUCAAGUCAUUCGCCUAUGGAUUAAAAAAUAAAUAAUAGUUUAAAAAAACUAACCCUUCUACUCAUAUCUGUUCAUAAAAUAUUUAUAACUACUGAUACCAUGCACCCCACGUUUUUUUUACCAUAAAAUCAUUUUUUCUUAUACUAUUUUUAAUUCAAAUUUAUUAAAAUUUAUUUUCUAUUUUUUAGUUGUAUUUUCUAUAAAAGCGUAUUUUGUUAGUUUUUUUUUAAACUAUUAUUAAUUUUUCAUUUUUUAGUUGAAUUUCAAUUUUUUCAAUUUUUUUUUUAUUAUUGUAUUAUCAUCGGUCGUUAGUAAGUAUACCAAAUUUCGAGUUAAUCCGACGUUUUGAAGGGGGUCAAAAUCAUGUUCAAAGAUUCCGUUACAAACAUACAUACGUCUGAAGCUAAUAAUAAAAGCGUAUUAAAAAAUUAUGACAUUGAUAAUUUUAUAGCUUCGCUCUAUUUUCUUGACCAGUAUCAACAGGAUAAACAAAAAUGAAAUUAAUAUUCAUUUAGUUGCUAUUUAAGUGCACUUUUUAGUUUUUAAGCUACAUAUAAUAUUAUUAUUUUCCAUGUAUGGUGUUAGUGACAAUUCAAUUAACAAAUAUUAUAUGAUUAUAAUAUAACAUAAUAAUAAUAUUAUUGUAUAGGCUAAUAAGUAUGUGUGUUUGACUGAUUCAAAUAUAAAUCGCACAUUUACCUUGAAACAAAAAUAAAAGGAAAAUAAAUCCGUUAUAUCAAUCAAAAUGAUUCAAUUUCAAAUGACUUAGAGUUUGAAUGAAUCUGAGUUAAACUACGAGUAUUUAAUGAACAAAAUAACAAUUCAUAAGUCUCGGUCACAAUUACCUACGAGUGAGUCAGACAUAAACCACGACGAAGUAUAAUGGUAUUUUGCGAUAGACAAAAGCCUAUUGUACAUUAGUACUAAUACAAGGGGAACAGCAAUCAUCGCUAAACACCAUUAGGUAACAAUGAAACGAGUUUUCAGUAAGAUUUAAACACCAUUUUACUCUUAUCGGUGUUAUCUCCGCGAGGAGUAUGGCGCCGUAACGUCACGAUUUCAAAACGAUCGCACUUUCGACGUUGGAUUCCCUUGCGUGCCUAUCUAAUAAUCCGAAAGAAGGUCGUUGAGACGAGAUAAUAGGGCUUACUCCGACGACGACAACAAGAAAUACAUAGAUAAAAUCAUAACACGCGCGCGAAAUUGCCAUAGUAUUUUAUUGGCUUGUUUUCUAUUGCCGCUGCUGGUUGAGUGACGUCACAAAACGCCAACAACGUAUUUUUAAUGCCAGUGACAGUUAAAACAAAUUUACAAUCCAUCACAGUUCCCACAGAUCGUUCUCGUUGCACAUGCAAGUGUUACCGUCCAAUAAAAAAAGUCCGUGUCGUCGACCCCAGAGUGCGUCAUCAAACGACAAAGACCGUCAUUUCCUUCGUCACGUAUAAACACGGAGAGCAGAUGACGAUCAAUUAAAAAGUUUGUUCGCAUUAACUAUGCGGGAAUUAGUUAGCAGUACGGCCUGCGUGCCAGAUGGACCCGACGAAUUUCUUUGAGUGAAAGAUAACGCCAGAGUUUGGAACUUCACAAUAAAUGGAUAUUAAGCUGGCGUGUCUUUGAUGUUCGUCUAAUGCUUUAAUGUUAAUUCGACUGAAGGUUCCUCGUUGAAAACCUCAGAGAACCGAGAUUCUGAGUGUUUUUGAAGUUAUACGUCUUUAGGUGCGUUAUGAAAAAUUGAUGAGAGUGAAAUUUUACGAUGCGCGUGCACCGUGACACAAAAUCAACAGAAAUGAAGUUGCCCACUAAAUCGCUCAUUACAAUACGACCGACGCAACUUGGAGAGUCUGAAUAUAGCCGCAGGUGAACUUUCGCGCGUGUACACUGAUUUGUCCUAAUACCGGACUCUGGCAUGGAUUACAACAGCUUUGUCACAGUAGAGUAUAUCCCAUUAUCCCUACAAUGUUUAUUACUGAAUGCAUUUGUUGACGCAACCUAAAAUUCAAUUGUGAUGUUAUAAAUUCGAACUCAUUCUCCAUAUAAAUUCUCUAUUUAAAAUAUGUAACAAAAAAAAUACCAAAGCUUUUUGUAUUUUUCAAUUACUAAGACAAAAGCACGGUAUUGUUCGUGUACAUACCAUAAUUAAUGACAUUGAUUUAUAUAAAAUCAUUAAAUACUCAAUAAUCAGAAUUCAUUUAUUCAUGUAUAAUGUGUACUUAUUGUAUUAAGAGUGCACAAUGAUAAUCAAUUUUUCGUUUGCAAAAUAUUGAGAAAAAUGAUUGAGAAAUCGCUUUUCGAUAUAUGUAUUAUCGAAUGUAUGAUAUCUGUAUUAAACUUUAUCUCAUUUUGUUUA